GCUGGUGCAAACACGUAAUGGUAUCGAGAUUAGUGUAAAAAUGUUUUGUGUGGAGUAAAGUGGCAAAUGUUAAAAAAGUGCGGAAAUUGAAAACAUGUGGCAAGAUGUGGUGUGAUUUCUCAGUUUGAUAUUCAUCAAUUAUUUAUAGUUGUGCAACCAAAGCAGUGCGAAAAAGAUAAAGCGUCUGUAUAGAAUAAAAUGAUGACAAGCAAUGUGUAAUUACAAUGGAGAAAUGGCAUUAUAUGUACAGUGAAGAUAUUAACGGGAAUUGGGAAAAUUGUUGAUAUGCAGAAUGUAACAACUUUAAACUUGGAAGUCAUUUACUGUAAAGGUAUUUUUGAAAGAUUUUCAUUCCCAGGCAAGACAAGUUCCGAGUUCCGGUUAAUAAGAAAUCCGGAGAAGCGGGAGCAGCGCGGCCCGAAAACAAAUUCUAUAAGAAAGAAAAAUCAAUAAAUCCCAUUGAAAUCCAUUUACAAUUUAAAUACGGAAGCAGCGAAGAUGAAACGGAGAAAUUUGAAAAAUGAACGAGUCCGUACAACUGGAAAGUGAGGGGUUACACAGAACAUUGUACAGAAAUAUUAAAUAUUAGAUUAAUU
rnacentral:lncRNA from 1 species